CUGUUGGGGCCCAUGCAGUCACAGGCGCAUCCCAGAAGCAUAUCUGCAGCCACAGUGGGCCUAAACAGAGACCCCAUGGUGGAGAUGCAGCCCCAGCCCAGUUAUCACUGUGGCGCCGGAAUGCCAAAGGUAAGGAAGCGUCCAGCAGUAGCAGUACAUGGCGCAUGGCAGCAGUGGGGGGCGGUGGAGCUUGGGCACCCACAGCAAAAAAAGUUCUGGGUGCCUGGGCCCCCAGGGGCCCCUGGAGUUGGUGCCAGUGUUCCCCAACAACUUUUGCAAAAUGUUAACUGAGAAAGAGAUUUGCAUGCAAAGCAGUCUACACCACAGUGGCUGCAGAGGUGGUUGUACUGCCGCAUUCCACUCAAAAUUCCAGAGGAUUGUGAUGUUGUUCACAUUUAGCAUCCUCUCAUUAGCCGCAUUUUUAACUGCCAAUGUACGUUAUUUGACGAUAUGGAUAGUAUUACCAGAUUCAGAUCAGGGUUGUCAAACUGAACGGAAUGGAUAUGCUGAUAAAGUGAUGCCUAGGAGCAGAGAGCUUCUCAUCGAGACUAGAUGAUUAGAUGCUAUCUGUCAAAUACAAUCAAAAUUCCCAGCUAAAUUGUUUUUUUCCCCUUCUUUCAAAAAUGAUUAUCCCCAGAUAACCUUCUCCAGCUUUACAAUUUGCAUAAGAGUUUUAAUUUCCACAACUUUCCCCCUUGCAUCUCUUUGCUUCAUUCAAGCUCACAGCUACAAGACUUCUUCAUGGAGAUUAAGGCAGAACAACUUCCAGGUUCCCACCAACAACUUACAAUCAAGUACAUGGGAGCACAGACAGAACUCAAACCUAACUGGCACUAACCCAACAGCCAGCUCAUGUUGUUUGACAUGAAUCAGUUUGGUCACUGCUCCUUGUAAGUGACAUAGUCUGGAAGUUCUCAGACUGUGUAGAACUGGAGGUCAUUUCUUGAGGACCAAGAUCUGUUUUAGGAAAGUUGAUUCUGAGACUAAGCAGGUCUGAAUCUGGUCAGCAACUGAAUGAGAGACUAGCAAAGAACGUUCUGUGUUCCAC